AGAGGAAAAAAGGGAGGAGUCGGGAUGCAUUUAGUCAAAGACAAACACAAGGGAUGACACAAGCCUGAAGGAAUCAUGCCAGGGAGGUGACAUCCCAAGACCCAAAGAGGCUCCUGGAAAAUGCUAACAGCAAAAACAAGAGCUUUUAAGGAGCCAGGCAGGAUCAAAGCCAUGCAGACAGAAAGGCCAGGGGCAGGUGAUGUAAUGUCUGCAGAUGACGGGUGGCAGUCCCUGCUCAUUUCCUGUUUUUCUCCAUCAGGACCAUCCAAGGAUCCCUGAGAUGAAACUGCAGAGAUUCCGCAUGAAUCCGGCCCCAGGGCCCUCUCCGUCUCCUUCAAACCAGACCAGCUCCUCAUUUGCCUUCCACUCUCACAAACUGGACACUUGAAGGAGAAGAAGCUGGACAUUUUCUAGAAUAUUCCUGAAUUUGGGUUUAUGUAAUGUGUUCUUAUUCAUAGACCGAGAUUAUGGAUUUGGGGGAAGAACUCCAGGAGGAAACUUUCCUUCUACUUAAAUCACAUGAAUAGAUGUGCAAUACCUAUUUACAUAUGAAGCCAGAACAACACAGGCUGGAAGAUGGCUCAGUGGGUGAAGACAUCUGCUGCCAAGCCUGAGGACCCAUACAGUGGAAGAAGAGACCCGCUCCAACCAGUUGUCCUCAACGUUCACGGGCACACUGUCGUGCAGUUCACACACACACACACACACACACACACACACACACACACACACACACACACACACCAAAUAAAUGUAAUUCCAAAAGUUUUUAAACCAUGACAUAUCAGCAACAUUAUUAACUUUGGUCAUUUUGGUAAUGAAAUGUUUUUUUGCCAUGAUAGAUAACAUCACUAUAAAUAUCCCUCUACACGUAAUUUGCUGGAAGUGAACUUCUAAGGGUUCAUGAUUAGCUGAAGAAUGAUAUCCCAUACUCAAAUAGUAUGCGAAAGUAAAGAGGGUUUUAUUCUGCACGAGUUCAGCAUGCUAGGGUCUACCAUAUUUCAAGAUGGAGGUAACCAAGUGAGCUCCAGGCCCAAUUUAAAGCACAUUAGGAGAAUUCGGGGAGGGGCAGGCGGCCUCUAUGAUAGGCAGUAUCACUAGGAACAUUCCAGAACCAUUGCUGGGGAAGUCUGGAAACUGCUGCUGGGGAAGUCUGGAAACUGCUGCUGGGGAAGUCUGGAAACUGCUGCUGGGGAAGUCUGGAAACUGCUGCUGGGGAAGUCUGGAAACUGCUGCUGGGGAAGUCUGGAAACUGCUGCUGGGGAAGUCUGGAAACUGCUGCUGGGGAAGUCUGGAAACUGCUGCUGGGGAAGUCUGGAAACUGCUGCUGACCCAUGCCUCAGGCUAGGUGGUGGGGCAGCUUCUGAAGCCUGGACUUGCCUGGACUUGCCCAGUUCUUGGAAAUGGAGAUUUAAGCCUAGCCUCCUGAACUGCUAAUUUGAAGAGUUAGCCAUGGAGUUAGCCUGUCUUAAAUCCACAUUCCACCAAUACCAGAGAAAGAAUAUUCAACCAAUACCGCGGAGAAAGAGAAUACCAAAACCUUGGUGAUCACUUGUUAAAACUGCCACAAAUACCUACUGAAUUUGAGGAGAAAUAUUCUCAAGCUGUUCUCCUCUGCUAUAAUGUCCUCUGCUGAUUCAGUCACUAAUCAAUGGGCUGUGGCCUGUGGUAAUUACUCUGUGGUGUUUUGAUGGUGAUUUUUUUUUUGUUUUGUUUUUUUACAAUUUUGCUCACUCCUACAUUUAUUCUUUGGAAUUCUAUUUCAAAGUAUCCUUUCUCCUCCGUGAGUAUAUUUAUUCAAUCAUUUGAAUGAGAAAAGCUCAGGGAUAAUGGAUGCUUACUCUUUAGCAUACAACCCAAUAUUAACAUUAUUUAUUCUGUGGUCCAAAUUCUGGCUUUGACUGUUGAGAGCUUUCCAGUCCAGCACUGGCUUGUGCAUCCCAGGCUUUCAUUGUCUUCCCCCAACCCCCACUAUCACCACCACCACCACCUAUUUCUCCAAACAACAUCCACUUCAGGUAUUGGUUUGCAGGGUAACAUUUAAAGUUAUUAAAUGUCGUGUUGAGAUGUGUUAAAGGCUAAACAAGUUGUGCCAUUGGAAGGUUGAUCCCACUUAGGAAGAAGAGCUUAGCCCUGACAAUGCUGGGAGCAUGAAGCCUUUGGUUGUUGUCAGAGGAACAGCUGCUGUUUGGAGAACUCUGAUUGGCUGCUUGACAGGGGACAAGCUGUGCUUUUGUUUGAUCUUCCCAUAUUUAGCUCUCUCGCAGAUGCCAGGGGAGGCUGGAGGUUUACGUACCAUCCCCCUCCCUCAAAUCCCCAUCAUCACCUCCUGGUCCUAAUGAACCAGCCACUUUCACACAUAAAUAUUUCUGGUGUUUCACCCUACCUGCCCUCCCCUCUCCUCAACCAGAUUCGUGUAGAGAGCUUUGAUAAAGAAACUCUCAGUUCUCUGGGCUAAGUGUGCACGUGGGACUCAGCUCACUUGAGGAGAUGCGCAGCUAGGAUUACUGGAGCCCUAGCUGGAAGCUUCCAGAAGUUUCCAGUGGCUGCUCCCUCUGAACUUAGAUUAUAUCUGUUAAAGAGGCAAUACGGCAUGCAGUAUCUAAGCCCCUGCAGUGGCUUCAGAGGCUCCAUAUGCAGAAUCAGCUACUGUUAGAUGUUCUUGAACUUGGCUUAGCAGCCAAUAGGGAGCCAGGCCAGGAGAGUGGCUCCUUGUGUGUAUUGAGACAUUCUAGCACUUACUCUGCUGUCUGUUGGGAUGUCUGUGAGGGCCAAAGCAGCCACCAAUAUGUCCACUUAUGGCAAGGGUCUCCAGGUUGGAAUAUGACUAGAGAGAGUGGGUUUUGUUGUUGUUGUUGUUGUUUGUUUUUGUUUUUGUUUUUUUCUGAGAUGAAUUGGAGAUUCAGAGGAGGAUGGACCUAGGCAGGUAAGGGUCAGGUAUCACAAGGGGAAGGAAACACCAGGACACUCAGAUCAGUGGGACGGGAAUGUCACAUCCAAAGAAUCGCUGAUGGGUGACCUGUUUGUUACUCUUUGCUCAGGCUCUCCCGCUCACUUGCCAGAGCACCCACUCUACAUGUCGCCAGUGGCAACCGGAACGCGUCCACUGAAACCCACACAGUGGCAGUUGGUACCCGAGAGCCCGUGGAGCAGUCUGCUCUCCCAGCCCUCCUCACCCCGGGGUUUGAUUCCUCAGCAGCAUCACAACAGCUGUACAGAGCCAUGUGCUCCUCAGUCCCUAGCCCUUUAGAAGCUGGAAGGAGCGAGAGAGUUUCGGGGACAGGCGAUGCUCAGAGUUGAGCAUUUAACUCACCUGGUUUCCACUCCUGUGGCCACAGAGAACAUCCCAACGUUUAUGUCCACUGCCCAGUGUUCUCUGCGAGCCUGGCUCCCAGGUUACUUUCCUAAGAAUACACACUUGUAGCCUCAAACCUCUACCCAGAAUUAGCAAACUCCUCGAGGCUAGCAGAUUGGAAGUUCUAUUUUUAAGGCAAAUUAAUCUGACAAGAUUCUAAGAAGCAGGGUUACCCUUAAGAGCCGAAGAGAAAUGCCUGGUUGCCAUGGUGAUAACCAGGCUGACCACAGAUUGGGAAGAAGAGAAACAGCCAUACUUCAGGAAGCAUCUCUCUGGGUGAAAUUUCUACAUGAGAACGGCGUAUUCAGCCUUUAAAACAUUACUGUUUAUGAUGGCUGACAGAUAACAAAACCAUAAAAUGGAGUGGAUGGUUCCGGAUCCGCAGGAAUGAGUAAAGAGAGGAAUGUUGGGCACUUCCUAUAAAGUUCUUGGGGGACACACAACUGGGGACCACUGUGUGAGCAGCAAAGGAGACAUUUCUCUAGGAAGAUCAUAAAGGCAGACCUUGAGCCAAGUGAGGAAAGCUACUAGUGCAGAGGACAGAGCUGUGGUGCAUCCUGAGCCUUGUAGGCUGUGGCAAAUGCCCAGGUUGAAGAACUGCAUCAGUCAGCGAGGUGGGUGUACUCUGUCUGUACACUCUGAGGAGACUCUGGAGGAGGAAGAUGAGGAGGAAAGAGAAGGAGGAAGAGGAAGAGGAAGAAGACAAAGACGACGAAAAAGACAAAGAUUAUGAAGAAAAAGAAGGAGAAGGAGGAGAAGAAGAGAAAGAAGAGGAGGAGGAUGAAGAGAAGUGGAAGAGAAGGGGAAGAAGAAAGACUUCUUCCAAGUCAGAGCAUACAUGAUGGUGGCGGCUGAGAAAGGAAAUGGGGGAGAUGUGGCGGUGCUGAAGGAAGAUAGCACAGAGAAACUGGGACUCGUAACUCAACACCGAUGAAAUUGCUCGUUAACUGCUUGGUCUGAAAUGCCGGGGCUUUUGAUCCAUAUUUAAAGCCUCUCUUAGGCAGGAUUAAUUUUUAGAAUGACAGGUAAUGCCACCCACGAGGGGGAAAUAACUAUUUAUGCUUCUUCCAAGAUUCUGUAUUAAAAGGCAUUUUAUUGCUAUUUAAUUUAAUAAAGUCAGAAUCUUCACCUAGAGAUCAGUUAUCACGACUGGGGUGUGAUACUCAUUAGCUGAGGCGAAUGACAGAGAAGCAAUGAGGGUAGAAAGGAUGAGGCCGAGAGGAGCUCCCAAGCAUGGCAUGGCCCCUUCAACAUGGCCCCGGUAGAGAGCCUGAGGAGCCUGAAGCCUGUGCCAGAGGCAAGGCAGCCUCUUUACAAAGCAGUUAAGCAGAAGUGUCGAAGUGUGCACACCACCUUUCAUGAGCUUCAUUCUUAAGGCACGAGUACCUUACCAUUACAAAAGAAACAUGAUAUUGAAAAGAAUCACGCCAACGUUUUUAGAGGCACACACACACACACACACACACACACACACACACACACAAAGCAGUCAUUCCCUUUUUUUCUGAUGUGUUUAUACCCAUUGCACUCCAAAGGGGAGACAAUUGUUGAUGAGAACUGUAAAGGCCUGAGGUGGGAACAUCUCGCUGUGUCUAAGGAAGAGCGGAGAAGCCAGUGUGCAGGACGAGGAGGCCACAGUGAAGUUGGAGUUUUAUUGUAAGAAAGAAUGACUCCACAGGAGGAGAUUUGUGGGAAGAA